rnacentral:rRNA from 1 species
GAUGAACGCUGGCGGCGUGCCUAAUACAUGCAAGUCGAGCGAACGGACGAGAAGCUUGCUUCUCUGAUGUUAGCGGCGGACGGGUGAGUAACACGUGGAUAACCUACCUAUAAGACUGGGAUGACUUCGGGAAACCGGAGCUAAUACCGGAUAAUAUUUUGAACCGCAUGGUUCAAAAGUGAAAGACGGUCUUGCUGUCACUUAUAGAUGGAUCCGCGCUGCAUUAGCUAGUUGGUAAGGUAACGGCUUACCAGGGCAACGAUGCAUAGCCGACCUGAGAGGGUGAUCGGCCACACUGGAACUGAGACACGGUCCAGACUCCUACGGGAGGCAGCAGUAGGGAAUCUUCCGCAAUGGGCGAAAGCCUGACGGAGCAACGCCGCGUGAGUGAUGAAGGUCUUCGGAUCGUAAAACUCUGUUAUUAGGGAAGAACAUAUGUGUAAGUAACUGUGCACAUCUUGACGGUACCUAAUCAGAAAGCCACGGCUAACUACGUG